rnacentral:rRNA from 1 species
GAGCGAACGGGGAGCAGCCCGGAGUCUGAAUCAGCUUGUGUGUUAGUGGAACGGUCUGGAAAGUCCGACGGUACAGGGUGAUAGUCCCGUACACGAAAGCACACAUGCUGUGAACUCGAAGAGUAGGGCGGGACACGUGGUAUCCUGUCUGAAUAUGGGGGGACCAUCCUCCAAGGCUAAAUACUCCUGACUGACCGAUAGUGAACCAGUACCGUGAGGGAAAGGCGAAAAGAACCCCGGCGAGGGGAGUGAAAAAGAACCUGAAACCGUGUACGUACAAGCAGUGGGAGCCUCUUUAUGGGGUGACUGCGUACCUUUUGUAUAAUGGGUCAGCGACUUAUAUUCUGUAGCAAGGUUAACCGUAUAGGGGAGCCGAAGGGAAACCGAGUCUUAACUGGGCGUUAAGUUGCAGGGUAUAGACCCGAAACCCGGUGAUCUAGCCAUGGGCAGGUUGAAGGUUGGGUAACACUAACUGGAGGACCGAACCGACUAAUGUUGAAAAAUUAGCGGAUGACCUGUGGCUGGGGGUGAAAGGCCAAUCAAACCGGGAGAUAGCUGGUUCUCCCCGAAAGCU